rnacentral:rRNA from 1 species
GACGAACGCUGGCGGCGUGCUUAACACAUGCAAAUCGAACGAAGUGGCGAACGGGUGAGUAACGCGUAAUCCCCCUGCCCUUCAGAGGGGGACAACAGUUGGACACGACUGCUAAUACCGCAUACUGAAGGAGGGGAUUGCGUCUGAUUAGCUAGUUGGAGGGGUAACGGCCCACCAAGGCGAUGAUCAGUAGACGGUCUUGGAGGAUGAACGGCCAAAUUGGGACUGGGACACGGCCCAGACUCCUACGGGAGGCAGCAGGGGGGAAUCUUCCGCAAUGGACGAAAGUCUGACGGAGCAACGCCGCGGGAGUGAUGACGGCCUUCGGGUUGUAAAGCUCUGUUAAUCGGGACGCGGUACCGGAAGAGAAAGCCACGGCUAACUACGUGCCAGCAGCCGCGGUAAUUC